rnacentral:rRNA from 1 species
GACGAACGCUGGCGGCGUGCCUAAUACAUGCAAGUCGAACGCUUUUUCUUUCACCGGAGCUUGCUCCACCGAAAGAAAAAGAGUGGCGAACGGGUGAGUAACACGUGGGUAACCUGCCCAUCAGAAGGGGAUAACACUUGGAAACAGGUGCUAAUACCGUAUAACACUAUUUUCCGCAUGGAAGAAAGUUGAAAGGCGCUUUUGCGUCACUGAUGGAUGGACCCGCGGUGCAUUAGCUAGUUGGUGAGGUAACGGCUCACCAAGGCAACGAUGCAUAGCAGACCGGAGGCGGUGAUCGGCCACACUGGGACUGAGACACGGCCCAGACUCCUACGGGAGGCAGCAGUAGGGAAUCUUCGGCAAUGGACGAAAGUCUGACCGAGCAACGCCGCGUGAGUGAAGAAGGUUUUCGGAUCGUAAAACUCUGUUGUUAGAGAAGAACAAGGAUGAGAGUAAAAUGUUCAUCCCUUGACGGUAUCUAACCAGAAAGCCACGGCUAACUACGUGCCAGCAGCCGCCGUAA